AUCUUUAUAUGGAGAUAUUCAAGACCUGGCUGAUGCCAACCUGUGCAACCUAUUAUGGGAUGUCUGCUUUAGCAAGGAGUUUGACUCGAUGGUCUCUUGAGGUCCCUUCCAACCCGGUGACUGUGUGAUUCUGUCUGUGUAAGCCUCUAUGAAGUAAAUGUUGCUGUGGAUUGAUAUGCAAGCUACAAUCCGAGUCUGACUUCAGCAAAAGAAACCCCAAUGAAACAAAAAACUCUCGGGAAAAUGUAGCAUCUGCACAGAGGUCCUGCAGGGUUAGUCCAUAGCACUGGUCUUCCUUUGAGAUGCUGUCUUUGGCCAACUGAUGCUGGUGAAGGAGUUGCAGAAGGCACAAGGUAGUGAGGACAGCAUGGAAACCUGCUCAGCCCUCACCUCCCAUACAGAGAAGUUUUGCGCAGCUUCCUGAAUAAUUCAGGCUUGUAUCUUCCCUCUGCUUGGACCACGCUUCUUUCUUGUGCUCCUCACUUCUCCCUUCCAGGCUGUUACAGGACAAGAACUGGAGAUGGCAGAACCUGGGUGGGACCGAUGUGAAGAGGCAGUCAGAGGUUGAAGCUGGACGACUUCAGACCAGGAAAUGAAGGAUAUUUUUCCAGAGGAGCAGAAGGGCUGAAUGUGAUGGUGAAGACCCAUCUCUGGUUUCUGGCUCUAUCUGAAAAGAAGAGAUUCACAUUUCACUCUCUCAUCCUAGAAACAAACCUUGCAUCCCGGAAGGAAAAUGAAUGCCAUUGGGAUUCAUACAUAACCAGUGAAGCUAUGAAAGCUCAACACGGAGCCGAGGCAAAGGAUUGCUGCAGGCUGUGGUUUGGUGCCAUGGAUGGCACAGAGGCUGGGUGAGGGGCAGUCUCAGAGCACCUUCAAUCUCCUCCUGCAGAUGAGCAGAACACUCCAGAUAGCACUGUGGGAUGAAGGGCUUUGCUGCCCACUGCUCCAAGGUGCCCGACCAGCUGCUGGGACAGCCAGGAAGAGAGCCUGCAAGGUGGCCAUUGCUGUGCAGUAGAAGAUUGUCAACCAUUGUUACUGUGGAAACCUUUGAAAAUAUGCUCCAUGAUAAAUUGGAUCUAGUGGCACCAAGGAAUCCCGAGCCUUCACGUGAUGUCUGCAGUUUGGACAGGAAAGGAAGUGAGAUAUAACACCUGCAAGGUGCUGUGACGCUCAGCAGUGGUUGUCAGUGCUGUUAGAAAUGUGCCAUGAAGCUCAAGCAAAGGGCAAGGAGUGAACAGCAAGCUUAUUCUGAUGGAUGGAGGAAAUUUGAAUCUGAACUUCAAAUGAAUGCUCCUUGCGUCCCUGCUUCCUCCUGGACUCAUGCAGAGAAGCCACUCCCUUGUCCCUUUUGAGGGUCGCAAAUAGCACCCACAGCCCAGCCAUCUUUAGCAUCAAAUGGUAGGGACAGACUUUAAGGAAGCAGUGGGUGUUUGCAAGAGCUGAUGGCCUCAUCCCAAAAUCUCUGCGGAGCUGAUGCACAGGUUUCUCGUUCAAGGAUGUUGACAUGGUUGACUUCAGCACCAUUUGGUUGAUCAGGACUCACACUGCCCUCCAGCUCCGUGUGCCUCAUCCAGGACAGAGCUGUGUUUCUGUGGUCACAUUCAAACAUACUCCAUCUUGUGACCCACCAAUACUUCCUCUGCAGAGUUAAAUAAGAGGCGAGGUCUCGGGUCGUGUUAUGACCGAUAGUUGGCUCACAUUAUUUGGUCACCACUGAAUGAAUGAUUUCUUUCUCCCUUACCUUUUGCCAACGUCAGUGGUGUUCUACCUUUCCUCUUUCUAUGCUAAAUAAUGCAAAGUGGUGUGAAAGAGGGGGACGGCGCUGAAGCAUCAUGCUCCAAGCCAUUUAAUUCGUCCCAUUAACAGGUGUUGUGUUGACUUGAAUUUAUUUGCCUCAAGAAAAAUGUUGAAAUGGAGUUCUUAAGUAGGACCGCACGUUGUGAAAUGUCAAAAAAUGCACCGUGUUUCUUUACUAAGAAUGGUGCAGUCUCCUAUGAGAAACCCCAUGGAUAAGCCAUCCAAGGGCCGAGGCAAUGAGUGCCCGAUAGGCAGUUUUUGUAAGUGGAACUUCUUUCAAAACUGCAGAGCAAAGAGAAAACCGUAUUUCUAAGACUUCAGUUGCUGCCUCCCGAGCUGAUGCACCCUGUCAGAUUGGAUCUCUCAUGUCACGUUACAAUCUGACUUCAGAUGUCACAGCCCAACAAAUCAGCCACAAAUCUGCCAGUUUGGUCUUCACGAGAGUGAUUUGAAGAACGAGCUUACGAGGAGAGCUUUUAUUUUUGGAUCCACUUCCCACCAAAUACUUCAGGCCAGAUACAUCUUCUAAAAGCUGUCCUAGAUGAAUACAUGCAUGGUGUGUGCACACCUGCAGCAUGUAAGGCUGUGUUGAGUACAUGGAUAAUGUUAGAUAUCUUUGUGGUCUUGUUUGGCUGCUGCUGUGAUUUACCUCUGUGCCAGCUGUGGGAUGCUGCCCCACUGAGUCCCAUACAGUGGCCAUGCUUAUACCUGUGGGACAUGCACCAUGAAAAUGACUGUGGGGUGCAAGCAUGCAGGCAUUUCUAUUGGGUUUUUGUCAGUUUGUUAGCUAUUAUGUCAUUUAUUUGUUUAAACAAAAGCAAAUAGAAGAAGACUGUGUCUUCAGUGUGGGUGAACUCAGCUCUCUCAGUGUAGGGGGCUGCCUGCCAUCCCUGAGAGCUGCCCCAAGAUCCUCUCGGAGCUGCACUGCCUGCUGCUUUGGUAGAUAGGGCAUGUGGGAAACUUUCUGCUGAAGAAAAAUGCUGAUGUAGUGAGAGCAGUGAGUCUUGCUGGGAGCAUCCCUCUGCUCUCAGCUGGGGGAUGUGUUGGCUUUCUCUCCACGGAAAGGCCCCUGAUAGUACUGGAAGGCAGCAGUGCCAUUUAGGCUCAGUGGUUGUCUGGGCUCUGCUGUUGAGUGACACAGCACUUCUCUCUCCUUUGGCUACAUUAACCAUUUGCAUUGCAUGAAACAAAAAAAGUUGUAUUGGAAUGACAGUGCAGGUUUGUGCUGCCAUUGGGAUUUGGGUCCUUACAGAUGCUAAAAUAGCGAUUCUAUGCUACGUGUGUGUGCGUAUACUAGAUGAAUUCCCCAUUAUUUAUCUUCUUAUUUAAAUGCUAACCACAAUUAAGGUUAGUUAGUUAGAACACUUAGUGGGUAUGCUGCUAUUCUAUGGACACAAAAGCACAAAUGGGAGAGCAAAAGAUCUUUCUAACAAAUCUAUCUUGCAACAAUAUCAUGUGCUGGUUAUAAUUCCCCUCCUCGUUGUACUUCCAUUAUGUUAUCCAGUGUACUUUUCCUGCCAGACUUAGAUGACAGGUCUGGCAGGAUAGCUCCAUCCCUGGAGGUGUUCAAGGCCAGGUUGGAUGGGGCCCUGGGGAGCCUGGGCUGCUAUUGGAUAUGGAGGUUGGUGGCCUAUCUGUGGUGGCGGGAGGGUUGGAGCUUCAUGAUCCUUGAUGUCUCUUCCAACCGAAGCUGUUCUAUGGCUGUAACACAGCCCCAGGAAGAGAGAGGGGAAUGGUGCAGGGUUGCUGCAGAGGGCAGUGGCCAAGGUGGUGCCACUUGCUCCCUCACAUCUGGGUGAUGCAACUUGGAGUCUGGCUCAUCACUUCUGGUCAAAUGAGGAAGUCUAAUUUCACGCCUGGGAAUGAUGGGCAUGCAAAUAAUUAGCACAGCAUUUAUGCAGGAUGAGUUUUCAGAGCAGUGCUGACUGUGGGUCUCUGCUGCCCCACUUCUGUCAUCGACGAUCAGACCCUUGCAAAGGUGAAAACGUCAUUAAAAAACUCUUUCUCUAUAUACUUCCUUCUUAUGGCUGUCCCCAAGACAAGUCCAUAAUGUGUUCUCAUUAUGUCGCAAGGCCAGAGAUCAGAGCCUGUAUGGAUAAUAAAAAUAUAUCCUCUUUGUCAAGCACCAGUAUCUGUCUUAACAGCAGAAACUGUGCUGGUGGAAAGUAACAUUUUUUGCAACCCGCUUCCUGCACAGUUAAUUAACCUUCCAAACCAGAGUCUCGUGUUGUUUGUUGGGCAGAAAUAGUCUUUUAGGACUACAAUUUAAUUAACAUGACUGAAGGGAGGUGCUGGGGGAGAGAGAUGUUUGCACAGCGUUGUCUGACCGGCUCUGGGCACGUGGAGUUUACCUGGAGUAAAUGAUUGUGUUUGGCACCUGCUCAGUGCCAUGCUUCACCUGCUGUUCUUCCAG
ensembl:lncRNA